rnacentral:rRNA from 1 species
GGGGUGACUGCGUACCUUUUGUAUAAUGGGUCAGCGACUUAUAUUCUGUAGCAAGGUUAACCGUAUAGGGGAGCCGAAGGGAAACCGAGUCUUAACUGGGCGUUAAGUUGCAGGGUAUAGACCCGAAACCCGGUGAUCUAGCCAUGGGCAGGUUGAAGGUUGGGUAACACUAACUGGAGGACCGAACCGACUAAUGUUGAAAAAUUAGCGGAUGACUUGUGGCUGGGGGUGAAAGGCCAAUCAAACCGGGAGAUAGCUGGUUCUCCCCGAAAGCUAUUUAGGUAGCGCCUCGUGAACUCAUCUUCGGGGGUAGAGCACUGUUUCGGCUAGGGGGUCAUCCCGACUUACCAACCCGAUGCAAACUGCGAAUACCGAAGAAUGUUAUCACGGGAGACACACGGCGGGUGCUAACGUCCGUCGUGAAGAGGGAAACAACCCAGACCGCCAGCUAAGGUCCCAAAGUCACAGUUAAGUGGGAAACGAUGUGGGAAGGCUCAGACAGCCAGGAUGUUGGCUUAGAAGCAGCCAUCAUUUAAAGAAAGCGUAAUAGCUCACUGGUCGAGUCGGCCUGCGCGGAAGAUGUAACGGGGCUAAACUGUGCACCGAAGCUGCGGCAGCGACGCUUAUGCGUUGUUGGGUAGGGGAGCGUUCUGUAAGCCUGCGAAGGUGUCCUGUGAGGGAUGCUGGAGGUAUCAGAAGUGCGAAUGCUGACAUAAGUAACGAUAA